CGGAGCAGUGUGGUUUAAUUCGAAGCAACGCGAAGAACCUUACCAGGGCUUGACAUGCCGCUGACCGGUGCAGAGAUGCAUCUUUAUCCUUCGGGUACAGCGGACACAGGUGGUGCAUGGUUGUCGUCAGCUCGUGUCGUGAGAUGUUGGGUUAAGUCCCGCAACGAGCGCAACCCUUGUCUUUAGUUGCCAUCAUUAAGUUGGGCACUCUAAAGAGACUGCCGAUGACAAAUCGGAGGAAGGUGGGAUGACGUCAAAUCAUCAUGCCCUUUAUGUCCUGGGCUACACACGUGCUACAAUGGUCGGUACAACGAGAAGCAAGUCAGCGAUGGCAAGCAAAUCUCUAAAAGCCGAUCCCAGUUCGGAUUGCAGGCUGCAACUCGCCUGCAUGAAGUCGGAGUUGCUAGUAAUCGCGGAUCAGAAUGCCGCGGUGAAUGCGUUCCCGGGCCUU
rnacentral:rRNA from 2 species